AUGUAAAAAAAAAAAAAAAAACAUUGAUGUAAAUGGCUUUGGCCAACUCUCAAGUGUGACCUAAAUGCAAGGAUUGUUUUUGGGGUCAGAAGAGUUCCAGAAUUUCAUGUGAUUGCUCAUUCAAGUGCCUGGAGAGCUGGGAUGUGAAAUCUGCAUUCUUAAUCCUAGACCUUGGCCAGUCAUCUGAGAUAUCACCUUACUGGCAAGACUACAUGGCACUUAGACCACACUGCUUAAUGGACUCCUGUGAGAGGAAAGGGGUUGGCUCAUCAAGCAAGAUGGUCUCUCUGAAUCAGAUCUGCUUGGUGCAAGUGCGAAAGAGACCACAGAUGGAAGCUCACAGAUGGAAGCCUGCUGAUCAUACAGCUGUUUCUUUGUUGAUUGGCUGUAGUCCCCUGGGUCUCAUCUUUGGGAGUGAAUCAGAAUCACCUAGAAGCCUUGUGACUCGAACCCAUAUCUUCGGAAUUCCAGGUGUUAUUUCCAUGAUAUCUCACUGAAUCCUGCUCUUUAUGAAAAACAGUGUGAGAUAGUGAGUUUUCAGUAUAAGGAGACUGGGCUCUAGAGCAGGGCCCCACCCCAGAGUUUCCACUUCAGUAAGUCUGGGGAAUAGUCUGAAAAUGUGCAUUUAUAACAAGUUCCCAGAUAAUGGUAAAUCUGCUGGCUCUGUAACCACACUGUGAGAACAACGGUGUGGCAAAUACUAGGACUCUUUCAGUAUGGAUAUUUCUGUCACCUCAUACCCAUGUAUGGAGUACUGAGCUCACUAUUUACUCCCUAAACCUACCACACUCCCCACUUUUCCCCUAUUGUAGUAAAUGACAGCACAUUGCACCUGUUUUUUUUAGCAAGAAGCCUCAAAGUCGUCUUUUUCUCUUCUCCCCCAACUAGUUAAAUCCUGAAGCUCUGUUGCUUCUGUUCACUAAGGGUCUUUUCAGUCCAUAUACUGUCCUUUAGUCGCACUGCUGCCACCUUAGUUCAGGCACCAGCAUCUGAUGAUUCAUAGGGACCUUCUGCAUGAAUUCCUACAUUCAUAUGUGUCCUUCUCCAACAUUCUCUGUGGGCAAGGUGACUUUUAUAAAAUACAAGUCUAAACACGUCACUCCUCGGUAUAAAGUACUUGUUUUCAUUUGCCCUUGGGAUAAAGCUCCAAAUCUAUAACAUGGUCUACAAGGCUCUGGGUGACAUGGGCUGCCUGUUUCUCCACACUCACUUGAGGGCACAUCCCUCACUGUCUACACUCCCAUCACACAGAUACCCUGUCAGCCUUUGGAGCCUGCCAUUCUUUCUCUAGAAGCUGGGCCUUUGGCAUAUAACCUUUUUAUUCACACUUUGCUUGUACAACCCCCAGCUGUUCUCCAAAUCUCAGCUUAGGGGUCCCUUCCUCAAUGAAGUGUUGAUUUAUCCACUGGAUUAAGUUAAAUGGAUUCACUCUAGUUGUCCAUGGCAGCUCUGCUUUUCUUCUUAGUAUCCUCAUCAAAAUAAAAUUACUUCUCUGAGGGUAUGGAUUCCCA
rnacentral:lncRNA from 1 species